rnacentral:lncRNA from 12 species
CUUGGAUCCCUGAAUGACCGUGUGGACCAGAGGCUUCCACCGUACCGCAGCACAAGCUCUCCUCUGAAGCGCUACCUCUGGUAAUUCACGGUUCUGAUUCCAUGUUGGUUGAUUCUCCAGUGGAUUUUUCUCCACCAAAUCGCUUCUGAGGCCCGUCUACCGAGGUGACGUCACACAAAGCAGGGAAAUCAUCGCUAUCGGUGACGAAUAGGCUGCUGUUAUGUGUUACUUCCACUUGCAUACAUCCAUCGCGUUUCAAGUCCUGGCGUCCAAAGGACAAUUUCAGGCCAUGGGAUAACAAAGCAUCUUCCAGGAAGCGGCGGGCUUGUAAGGAGAAGGUAAGUGGGACCAAUUUGCAGAACGUAUCUGGGGUCAAGCAGGGCUUUUCAUCGCUGGCCUCCUAAUUGGGGUGCGUCAUCCCCUUGCGCUCUCUCCAGAAAAAGAUCCCUUUGGCCACUCAGGGUCUUUGUAGUUUCAUAUGAAUUUUAGGAUUUUUUUUUUCAAUUUCUGUCAAGAACGCCAUUGGACUUUGCAUUGAACCUGUAGAUCACU